UCUAUAAUUGUUUUCUGCUUGCUUUAAAGAAGAUUCAGUUGGAAUAAGAAGUAACCUAAUAAAGAACUCUAGCAAGCUCUGGAGGAACAGGACCUCAGACAGCAGCUGUAUGCCACUGGAGGGCAGAAGGAGAAGUGAAAAUAUUUUCAACUGAGAAGCCGACAUCUAAAUCUGAAUCCCCUAGUGACUGUAAGGAGUGUGCCAAAUGAUUUCCAGGCCUCACUCUA